UACCAGCUCUCCGAGUGGUGUGGAUGUUUAUUGGGCCUAAAGCAUCCGUAGCUGGCUGGACAAGUCCCCUGUUAAAUCCACCGAUUUAAUCGUUGGUGUGCGGGGGAUACUGUUCGGCUAGGGGACGGGAGAGGCCGACGGUAUUUCCGGGGUAGGGGUGAAAUCCUAUAAUCCCGGGAAGACCACCAGUGGCGAAGGCUGUCGGCUAGAACGCGCCCGGCGGUGAGGGAUGAAAGCUGGGGGAGCGAACCGGAUUAGAUACCCGGGUAGUCCCAGCUGUAAACGAUGCAGGCUAGGUGUUUGGGCGGCCACGUGCCGCUCUAGUGCCGCAAGGAAGCUGUUAAGCCUGCCGCCUGGGGAGUACGGCCGCAAGGCUGAAACUUAAAGGAAUUGGCGGGGGAGCACCACAAGGGGUGAAGCUUGCGGUUU
rnacentral:rRNA from 1 species